rnacentral:lncRNA from 1 species
AUUUACGUAGGAAAACUCCAACUUGGAGUAAAAAACCUACGAGACUAACACGCGAAAAAAUAAUUCACUAAGAGAAAAGAUUACAAGGUGAUUCCCGACUCCACGGACUCGACCUCUCUUAACCUCCUAUGAAUCUCGCACAAUCCUCCGGGUUGUCCACGCCCUCACGCUCGAAUUCACGAACACCUCGCACACGUCCGAAUCCACGAACGCCGUGCACACAUCCGAAUCCACGAACGCCACUCGAAUCCACGAGCACACGAUCCGAAUCCUCGAACCGUCUUCGAUCACGCCAAAUCCACGACGCCGUCCAUGAAGAACAUCA